CUAUCAGGAUACUAUUUGCAGAUGAGGUUGGGGGUCUCAUACACAGAUCUAGUCCACGGUUGAGGUUGUGACUCAGGUACUUGGACAGAAUUCACAAGAGCUGCUAAUUCUUAUAUUUGGAGCCAGGCCAUAUGCAAUAUUGUUAAUCUCAUCCCUGGACCUUUCUGCAGGUGUGAUUUUGAUUCAUACCUUUGCCCAGCACCUAACUGAUUUUACAUUUCUGCAUGGGUUCAGACUAAAUGUGGGAUUGUGACAUAUACCUAGGCCAAGCACAUAGGUGAUGGGACUCUCCUGCCUGGGCCAGUCUCUCAGAGGUGACUUAGAAAUAUCUUAUGCAGCCAUCACCUAGCUAAUGUGACUCUCCUCUCCUGCCUGGGCUCAGCCCACAGGGGCAUUAUGACGUAUUACUGGGUUCAUCACCUAGGUGACAUGACUCUCCUCUUCUGCCUGGGCCCCACCCCCAUUUGGAAUUUGGACAUAUCCGUGGGCCUAUCACCUAGGUGAUAUGAAUCUCCUCUUUUGCCUUGGACCUUCUUACAUGGGGAAUUGAGACAAAUUACUGGGCCCAGCACCUAGCAGAUGUUACUGUCUGUUUUGCCUGGAUCUUGCCUACAGAAGGGAUUGUGACAAAUCAGUGGGCCAAGCAUCCAGGGUAAUUUGUGACAUACUGCUGGACCCAGCACCCAGAUCAUUUGACUCUCCUGCCUUGGUCCUGCCCACAGAGGGCAUUGUGACAUGUGAGUGGGCUCAGCAGCCAGAUGAUGUCACCUUCCUGCCAGGACUCUUCCAACAGAAGGGGCAUUGACCUACUCAGGCUCAGUAUUCAGGUGCUGUCUGAGGUUUGGCUGUCAUGCGUGGAUUCAAGUUGCUGUUGAAAUUGUGAUGUGCAGCUGGGCAUGGUGGCUCAUGCUUGUAAUCCCAGCACUUUGGGAGGCCAAGGCAGGUGGAUCACCU
rnacentral:lncRNA from 1 species